GUAGGUGAACCUGCGGAAGGAUCAUUAUCGAAUUACUGGGGGUUGAUGCUGGCAGUCUUUAUGGUUGUAUGUGCUCACUCUCUUUAAUCCACUUACACAUGUGCACUCAAAUUUCGAAGGCGGGGUAAAAUCUGCCUUCGAAGCUUUAUAAAUUCUUAUUUGGUACAAUGAAUGUUUUAUCUGCCGCAAGGCAAAAGUUAAUACAACUUUUAACAACGGAUCUCUUGGCUCUC
rnacentral:misc_RNA from 1 species